ACUUAAUGAAUAAAGAUUCACAAGGGCCCAAAAGCCCAAAUCCCUUAAAGUGGCCGGCCAUGUUAGAAGAAUGGCUUUUUGGUUCUUUAGGUCACUUAUUUGAAGGGACUAUAUAAAGGACUUUAUAGCCUAAAUUCAUUAAGUGUUUCUUUUAGGAAAUUGGAGAGAACACAAAGCUCUCUUUUCUCUCUAGGAGGCCGGCCCCCUUGGAGGGUGUAUCUAGCAAUCCUACCACUCCAAGGUCACUCAUUUCUUCUCCAAUCUAACCUUGGUGAAGAUACUUUGAGGUUCUCAAUUUUGGGAACUUGGAGAAACCUAUUCUUCCAUCCAAAUCCAUAGAUUUUA
rnacentral:lncRNA from 1 species